rnacentral:rRNA from 1 species
UUGAACGCUGGCGGCAGGCCUAACACAUGCAAGUCGAGCGGAUGAGUGGAGCUUGCUCCAUGAUUCAGCGGCGGACGGGUGAGUAAUGCCUAGGAAUCUGCCUGGUAGUGGGGGACAACGUUUCGAAAGGAACGCUAAUACCGCAUACGUCCUACGGGAGAAAGCAGGGGACCUUCGGGCCUUGCGCUAUCAGAUGAGCCUAGGUCGGAUUAGCUAGUUGGUGAGGUAAUGGCUCACCAAGGCGACGAUCCGUAACUGGUCUGAGAGGAUGAUCAGUCACACUGGAACUGAGACACGGUCCAGACUCCUACGGGAGGCAGCAGUGGGGAAUAUUGGACAAUGGGCGAAAGCCUGAUCCAGCCAUGCCGCGUGUGUGAAGAAGGUCUUCGGAUUGUAAAGCACUUUAAGUUGGGAGGAAGGGCAGUAAGCUAAUAUCUUGCUGUUUUGACGUUACCGACAGAAUAAGCACCGGCUAACUUCGUGCCAGCAGCCGCGGUAAUACGAAGGGUGCAAGCGUUAAUCGGAAUUACUGGGCGUAAAGCGCGCGUAGGUGGUUUGUUAAGUUGGAUGUGAAAGCCCCGGGCUCAACCUGGGAACUGCAUCCAAAACUGGCAAGCUAGAGUAUGGCAGAGGGUGGUGGAAUUUCCUGUGUAGCGGUGAAAUGCGUAGAUAUAGGAAGGAACACCAGUGGCGAAGGCGACCACCUGGGCUAAUACUGACACUGAGGUGCGAAAGCGUGGGGAGCAAA